rnacentral:rRNA from 1 species
UCUCCUGGAAAACGGGUGGUAAUGCCGGAUGCUCCGACUCCUCGCAUGGGGUGUCGGGAAAGAUUUCAUCGGUAUGGGAUGGGGUCGCGUCCUAUCAGGUAGUCGGCGGGGUAACGGCCCACCGAGCCUACGACGGGUAGCCGGCCUGAGAGGGCGACCGGCCACAUUGGGACUGAGAUACGGCCCAGACUCCUACGGGAGGCAGCAGUGGGGAAUAUUGCACAAUGGGCGCAAGCCUGAUGCAGCGACGCCGCGUGCGGGAUGACGGCCUUCGGGUUGUAAACCGCUUUUGAUCGGGAGCAAGCCUUCGGGUGAGUGUACCUUUCGAAUAAGCACCGGCUAACUACGUGCCAGCAGCCGCGGUAAUACGUAGGGUGCAAGCGUUAUCCGGAAUUAUUGGGCGUAAAGGGCUCGUAGGCGGUUCGUCGCGUCCGGUGUGAAAGUCCAUCGCUUAACGGUGGAUCUGCGCCGGGUACGGGCGGGCUGGAGUGCGGUAGGGGAGACUGGAAUUCCCGGUGUAACGGUGGAAUGUGUAUAUAUC